GACAGAGGGUGCAAGCGUUAAUCGGAAUUAUUGGGCGUAAAGCGUACGUAGGCGGAUUAGUAAGUUGGAUGUGAAAUCCCUGGGCUUAACCUGGGAAUUGCAUUCAAUACUGCUAGUCUAGAGUACAGUAGAGGGAAGUGGAAUUUCCAGUGUAGCGGUGAAAUGCGUAGAUAUUGGAAAGAACAUCAGUGGCGAAGGCGACUUCCUGGACUGAUACUGACGCUCAGGUACGAAAGCGUGGGGAGCAAACAGG
rnacentral:rRNA from 1 species